rnacentral:rRNA from 1 species
GAUGAACGCUAGCGGCAGGCUUAAUACAUGCAAGUCGAGGGGUAGCAAGAUUGUAGCAAUACAAUUGUUGACGACCGGCAAACGGGUGCGGAACACGUACACAACCUUCCUACAAGUGGGGAAUAGCCCAGAGAAAUUUGGAUUAAUACCCCGUAACAUAGCGAUGUGGCAUCACAUUGCUAUUAUAGCUUCGGCGCUUGUUGAUGGGUGUGCGGCUGAUUAGAUAGUUGGCGGGGUAACGGCCCACCAAGUCUACGAUCAGUAGCUGAUGUUUAAGCAUGAUCAGCCGCACGGGCACUGAGACAAGGGCCCUACUCCUACGGGAGGCAGCAGUAAGGAAUAUUGGACAAUGGACGCAAGUCUGAUCCAGCCAUGCCGCGUGAAGGAUUAAGGUCCUCUUGAUUGUAAUCUUCUUUUAUAAGGGACGAAAAAAGGUCUUUCUAGAUCGUCUGACGGUACCUUAUGAAUAAGCACCGGCUAACUCCGUGCCAGCCGCCGCCGUAAGAC